UUUUUAUAUACAUUUUUAUUACUUUAUCAAUAUCAUCAUUACCAGCCUAUACAUUCCACUGCUGGACAUAGGCCUCCACAAGUUUACGCCAAAAAUAACGUGAACUCA